AGGUCACUUCAAAGAGGGUUUGCAUGGCUGAAAAACCAGCAGCUCUUAACGCGGUGACCGCAUAUUGAAAUCCUCUGUGCAGGAUGCCGUGGACACUCAUGUGUGCUAUGGUCUAUAUGUGAGGAGAUAACACC
ensembl:snoRNA